CCCCAGCCCCAGGAGUCCCAGGAGUCCCCAUUCUGUGAUCAGGACAUUUCACAGACCUCUCACUAUGGAGUUUGUGCUUGGCUGGGUUUUCCUUGUUGCUGUUCUAAAAGGUGUCCAGUGUGAGGUGCAGCUGGUGGAGUCUGGGGGAGGCCUGGCGAAGCCUGGGGGCUCCCUGAGACUCUCCUGUGCAACCUCCGGAUUUGACUUCAGUAAAUAUACCAUGUACUGGGUCCGCCAGGCUCCA